GACAGAGGCCUCAAGCGUUAGGCGGAAUCACUGGGCUUAAAGCGUGUGUAGGCGGAUCGUUAAGUGUCUUGUGAAAUCCCACGGCUCACCCGUGGAACUGCUGGGCAUACUGGCGAUCUUGGGCCAACUAGGGGCAACUGGAACAAGCGGUGGAGCGGUGAAAUGCGUAGAUAUCGCUUGGAACGCCAAAGGUGAAAACAGGUUGCUGGGUUGUGCCGACGCUGAGACACGAAAGCCAGGGAGCAAACGGG
rnacentral:rRNA from 1 species